rnacentral:rRNA from 1 species
AGCGAACGCUGGCGGCAGGCCUAACACAUGCAAGUCGAACGAACCCUUCGGGGUUAGUGGCGGACGGGUGAGUAACACGUGGGAACGUGCCUUUAGGUUCGGAAUAACUCAGGGAAACUUGUGCUAAUACCGAAUGUGCCCUUCGGGGGAAAGAUUUAUCGCCGUUAGAGCGGCCCGCGUCUGAUUAGCUAGUUGGUGAGGUAAUGGCUCACCAAGGGUACGUUCAGUAGCUGGUCUGAGAGGAUGACCAGCCACAUUGGGGAUGAGACACGGCGCAAACGCCUACGGGAGGCAGCAGUGGGGAAUAUUGCGCAAUGGGGGAAAGCCUGACGCAGCCAUGCGGCGUGGAGGAUGAAGGUCUUAGGAAUGUAAAAUCCUUUCACCGGUGAAGAUAAUGACUGUAGCCGGAGAAGAAGCCCCGGCUAACUUCGUGCCAGCAGCCGCCGUAACAC